rnacentral:rRNA from 1 species
GAUGAACGCUGGCGGCGUGCCUUACACAUGCAAGUCGAACGGCAGCGCGGGAGCAAUCCUGGCGGCGAGUGGCGAACGGGUGAGUAAUAUAUCGGAACGUGCCCAGUAGUGGGGGAUAGCCCGGCGAAAGCCGGAUUAAUACCGCAUACGACCUGAGGGUGAAAGGGGGGGAUCGCAAGACCCCUCGCUAUUGGAGCGGCCGAUAUCAGAUUAGGUAGUUGGUGGGGUAAAGGCCUACCAAGCCUGCGAUCUGUAGUUGGUCUGAGAGGACGACCAGCCACACUGGGACUGAGACACGGCCCAGACUCCUACGGGAGGCAGCAGUCGGGAAUUUUGGACAAUGGGCGCAAGCCUGAUCCAGCAAUGCCGCGUGCAGGAAGAAGGCCUUCGGGUUGUAAACUGCUUUUGUCAGGGAAGAAAUCCCCUAGGCUAAUACCUUGGGGGGAUGACGGUACCUGAAGAAUAAGCACCGGCUAACUACGUGCCAGCCGCCGCCGUAA